GUGUCUAUCUUUCUCUCCCCCUCUCUGUCUUCCCCUCCUCUCUCUAUUUCUCUCUGUCCUAUCAAUGACAUCAACAACAACAAUAAUAACUACAACAACAAUAAAAAAUAACAAGGGCAACAAAAAGGAAAAUAAAUAAGUAAAUAAAUAAAUAAAAGAAAUGAAGUUUAUUCAAAAACAAGGAAUGAAGGCAAGGGUAGAUAGCAUAACGUUUAUGCAAAGAGUCUCUUAUGCCUGAGGCUCCAAAGUCCCAGGUUCAGUCCCCCACACCACCAUAAACUAGAGCUGAGCAGUGCUCUGGUUAAAAAAAAACAACAACAACAAAGAAUGAGUUGAAAUAGUAUUUUAGAAGAUGAAUGAUCAAUACUCUUUUUAGUCACUGGCCCCGUGGAAUAAACCUAAAAUAGACCUAGCUUUUUCCAAAAUGGAGACCUCAAAUCUCAUCUGCUUUAUUCUUGCCUUUAGGUUCCUGACAAUUGAGCAAUUUGUUCUGCUUUAUAUCUUAAGGCUUUUUCAGCCACCAAGUUGCAGAUGCUACCUUGACGUCAAAACCUACUGAUUUCCAGCAGCUAUGUGCUUCCAAUAGGCUUCUGAAAUAUAUCUGAUAUAUUUUUAUUUCAAGGUAGGACAUACUCUAGCUAAUAUAGCACCCACACCCCACCUGAGACACUGCUUUCUGGAUGUCAUGGAGGAUCUCUGAUUUACAUCUCUGGAAAUGCAUUAGCAAGAUCCAUUUCUGGCAAAGAUAUUUGUUCUUCAUUUUCAUCUCUGCAUUCUAACUGCAUAAUCUGUUUGCUUGUUCGUGGAUAUGGGUGACUUGGCUAGUUCCUCUUACUGGCGGGUACUCCUGAGAAAAUUCCAAGAGAAUGUGUGUGCAAAAGACUUUGUAAAAAUUGAAGUCCUCCAAAAGGCCAAGAAACACAUGAAAAAUGCCCAAGUCCUUGAUUGUCAGAGCAAUGCAAAUAAAGACAACAAUGAGAUACCACUUCACUCCUGUGAGAAUGUCAUACAUCAGAAAAGGUAGCAGUAGUAAAUGCUGGAGAGGUUGUGGGGUCAAAGGAACCCUCCUGCACUGCUGGUGGGAAUGUCAAUUGGUCCAGCCUCUGUGGGGAGCAUUCUGGAGAACUCUCAGAAGGCUAGAAAUGGACCUACUCUAUGAUCCUGCAAUUCCUCUCCUGGGGAUAUAUCUUAAGGAACCCAAGACACCCAUCCAAAAAGAUGUGUGUACACAUAUGUUCUUAGCAGCACAAUUUGUAAUAGCCAAAACCUGGAAGCAAACCAGGUGUCCAUCAACAGAUGAGUAGCUGAGCAAGUUGUGGUAUAUAUACACAAUGAAAUACUACUCGGCUAUCAAAAAUCGUGACUUCACCGUUUUCAGCUGAUCUUGGAUGG